AUUCCAGCUCCUAUAGCGUAUAUUUAAGUUGUUGCAGUUAAAAAGCUCGUAGUUGGAUUUUGGUUAAGAGGGCGCGGUCGGCCGUUUGGUCUGUACUGCGUUGUCUUGACUUCCUGAUGAGGACAUGCUCUUGGUUAACGCUGAGACAUGGAGUCAUCGUGGUUACUUUGAAAAAAUUAGAGUGUUCAAAGCGGGCUUACGCUUGAAUAUAUUAGCAUGGAAUGACACUAUAGGACUCCUGUCCUAUCUCGUUGGUCUCGGGAUGGGAGUAAUGAUUAAGAGGAACAGUUGGGGGCAUUCGUAUUUCAUUGUCAGAGGUGAAAUUCUUGGAUUUAUGAAAGACGAACUUCUGCGAAAGCAUUUGCCAAGGAUGUUUUCAUUA
rnacentral:rRNA from 1 species